rnacentral:misc_RNA from 1 species
AAAAAAAAAAAAAAAAAGGGUUUCGGACAAAGAUUUGAAUUAUGUAUCGUGAAGUCUUUAUGAAAUAGUUUCCUUCACCAUCGUAAUGAAGGCACGCGACCUUUUUAUCUUCACAAGUUUAGAUUUUUUUUGGAAGAAAGGGAGAAGGAAGCCGAAAGGGAAAAAGAGAGGGAAUACUUCCCCUUCUUACUCCUCAUUUUAUUAUGCGGUUGGGGAGAAUAUCACAUGCUUCAACUCUUCUCAAAUUUUCUAUCAAUCACCACUCAUCUUUCGUUCAUUUCACCAUUCCAAAAGGGUGGACUUGUUUGAAAAAAAAAAAAA